rnacentral:vault_RNA from 1 species
GCAGAGGUUUAGCUCAGUGGUUACUUCGCUAAAAGCCUAGUACUUAUGCUCUAGCUCAACCGGCCCGCGGGUCGAGAGUUCGAACCUCGUGCGCUGUCCUCUGUUUUU